rnacentral:rRNA from 1 species
GAUGAACGCUGACAGCAUGCUUAACACAUCAGCAAUGGAUUGGUGGCGGACGGGUGAGUAACGCGUAAAGCACGUGCCUCACAUGUAGGGACAACAUUUGGAAACGAAUGCUAAUACCUAAUACUGUGGGAGAGCUUUGCGUCCCCUUAGCUAGUUGGAGAGGUAACGGCUCACCAAGGCGAUGAUGGGUAGCCGGCCUGAGAGGGUGAUCGACCACAAGGGGACUGAGACACGGCCCUUAGUCCUUCGGGAGGAAUGAGUGGGGAAUAUUUGAGAAUGGACCAAAGUAUGAUCCAGCAAUUCUGUGUGCACGAUGAAGUUUUCGGAAUGUAAAGUGCUUUCAGUUGGGAAGCGGUACCAACAGAAGAAGUGACGGCUAAAUACGUGCCAGCAGCCGCGGUAAUUC